GGGCGGUUAGCUCAGCUGGGAGAGCACCUGCCUUACAAGCAGGGGGUCACAGGUUCGAGCCCUGUACCGCCCACCA
rnacentral:tRNA from 3 species